CCAAUGGGAAGAUGCGGUUAGAUUCUAGAAUUCAAAGAAAGGAGAGGACCGUGAGCGAGUUGGAAUAAGUAGCGGGCAAAAACAAAAAUUCACGCGCACGGCAGGGUCGAGAAGUUUUGCUUCUGUAGCUGAGGCCGAGGAAGUUUUGUCAGGUCAAAAAGUUGGCCGCCUUCAGCUUUUUGAGAUUACGCAUAGGAAGAAAGAUGGAUCUCCUAUGACAUCCGAAGUUGGAGAAAUUAUGGAGAAACUAAAGGAGAAGAAGACGGAGUACGAAGCGAUUGCUUCGACUGAUAGUUCUGUUAAUCUUGAGAAUAUUGAUAACAGAAUUAUCAUUGAAGUUUUGAGUCCUGAAAGGUAUGGUCGGGUUUGAUUUCAAGGAUCUAGUGUUACCCCGACCCAAUAUUUUGGAUCCGGAUCCAAGCAAUACAUGCCUUCCGGGAGUCAAGCUCAAGCUGAAGUUCAGGGGUUAAGAGACCAGAUAGCUCAGAUGCAAGCGAGCACAGUUGAGCAAAUUGCCGAGGUUCAACUUAGAGCGGAGGCAGUAGAGAGGGAGGCAGCGGCAGCAGCGAUGGCAGUAAAGCAGAGCAGAAAGUACGAUGAGGUCCAGCUACAACUUUAGCAAAUGAUACAAAUGUUUCAGCAGUCGCAAAAGCAACCAUCUUAGACAUUAGUUUUCUCCUUGUAAGAAACGUUUUUAACAUUGUUACAUUUAACAUUAUUGUAAGAAUGUUUUGAGUUAUACUUAAUUUAUUAAUUCACAUCAUAGAUCUUUCGUUGAA